rnacentral:tRNA from 10 species
GCGGGUGUAGCUCAGUUGGUAGAGCAUCAGCUUCCCAAGCUGAGGGCCGCGGGUUCGAAUCCCGUCGCCCGCUCCA